rnacentral:rRNA from 1 species
UACGUAGGGGGCAAGCGUUGUCCGGAUUUAUUGGGCGUAAAGAGCGUGUAGGCGGCUAGGUAGGUCCGUUGUGAAAACUCGAGGCUCAACCUCGAGACGCCGAUGGAAACCAUCUGGCUAGAGUACUGGAGAGGAGAUUGGAAUUCACGGUGUAGCAGUGAAAUGCGUAGAUAUCGUGAGGAAGACCAGUGGCGAAGGCGAAUCUCUGGACAGUUACUGACGCUGAGGCACGAAGGCCAGGGGAGCAAACGGG